rnacentral:misc_RNA from 1 species
GAAAUGCGAUAAGUAAUGUGAAUUGCAGAAUUCAGUGAAUCAUCGAAUCUUUGAACGCAACUUGCGCCCUUUGGUAUUCCGAAGGGCAUGCCUGUUUGAGUGUCAUGAAAUAUCAAUCCUCAAGGUUUCUUGUUGAUUGGACUUGGGUGUUGCCGUCUGACUCGCCUCAAAUGCGUUAGUAGACCACAAUGUGAAGUUUGGCGUAAUACGUUUCGUCAGGCCAGCAUCGGCGUCCGCUUAUAACCACCAUCUACUGUCUUCAUGACUUUAUCUCUGACCUCAAAUCAGGUAGGACUACCCGCUGAACUUAA